rnacentral:rRNA from 1 species
UGGGGAAUAUUGCGCAAUGGGCGAAAGCCUGACGCAGCGACGCCGCGUGAGGGAUGAAGGUCUUCGGAUCGUAAACUUCUAUCAGCAGGGAAGACAAUGACGGUACCUGACUAAGAAGCCCCGGCUAACUCCGUGCCAGCAGCCGCGGUAAUACGGAGGGUGCGAGCGUUAAUCGGAAUUACUGGGCGUAAAGCGCUCGUAGGUAGUAUAUCAAGUCAAGGGUGAAAUCCCCGCGCUCAACGUGGGAACUGCCUUUGAAACUGGUAGACUUGAGUGUGUGAGAGGAUAGUGGAAUUCCAGGUGUAGGAGUGAAAUCCGUAGAUAUCUGGAGGAACAUCAGUGGCGAAGGCGACUAUCUGGCACAUAACUGACACUGAGGAGCGAAAGCGUGGGUAGCAAACAGGAUUAGAUACC